rnacentral:rRNA from 1 species
UGGGGAAUUUUGCGCAAUGGGCGAAAGCCUGACGCAGCAACGCCGCGUGAGUGAUGAAGGCUUUCGGGUCGUAAAGCUCUGUCAGGGGGAAAGAAGUGCAAGGUGGUUAAUACCCAUUUUGUUUGACGGUACCCCCAAAGGAAGCACCGGCUAA